GAGCUUGUGAUUCUCGAAGCAAUUUUAUUCUUGAGUAGAUGGUUCUUGGCAUGUGGAUUCAGCAUCAGGUAGGCAGUCUUGUGAGCUGUCAUUUUUAGUGGUCAUGGUUAGAAGGAAAGCAACCUUUUUCCAUCGAUGAAAUAUUUUCUUGAAAUUCAAGCCUGUUUACAUUGAUCUGUUAAAGGUUAUUUUCUGCUUGGGUUACGGACAAUGCGAGAUCUUGAGAAGUUGCCUUGUUGAAAGACAAACAUUGUUUUUAGCUUACCCUGGUUUAAUUGACCUUCGUAAUGUAAUGAUUUUCUGGCAGGUGACUCCUUCCUGCCGCCUUCUAAUUGGACCUUGCGAUGAUACCUUAUCUGAUCCUCAAUCUGCAUCAGAAUAGCACCAUGAAAUAUGCUGGAUUUUUCACGGGAAUUAAUUGUGCUGGUGUACUCAAGGUGG
rnacentral:lncRNA from 1 species